rnacentral:rRNA from 1 species
AGGGAAUCUUCGGCAAUGGACGCAAGUCUGACCGAGCAACGCCGCGUGAGUGAAGAAGGUUUUCGGAUCGUAAAACUCUGUUGUUAGAGAAGAACAAGGAUGAGAGUAGAAUGUUCAUCCCUUGACGGUAUCUAACCAGAAAGCCACGGCUAACUACGUGCCAGCAGCCGCGGUAAUACGUAGGUGGCAAGCGUUGUCCGGAUUUAUUGGGCGUAAAGCGAGCGCAGGCGGUUUCUUAAGUCUGAUGUGAAAGCCCCCGGCUCAACCGGGGAGGGUCAUUGGAAACUGGGAAACUUGAGUGCAGAAGAGGAGAGUGGAAUUCCAUGUGUAGCGGUGAAAUGCGUAGAUAUAUGGAGGAACACCAGUGGCGAAGGCGGCUCUCUGGUCUGUAACUGACGCUGAGGCUCGAAAGCGUGGGGAGCAAAC